CAAGCAUCUGUUCAUUUACAUGAAGUUUUAGAUUUUAAGAGUGGCUCCCAUUUAUUUUGCCCUGCAUAGAAUGCACAGUUAUUUAACUACACUUUUCCUGGUGCCAAUGUUGAGAAGAAGUGAAGCUGGAGUGAGUAUGUUAAAUGAGACUAUCAAGGAGUUGCAGGGCCACAUUCAAUGAGUCUGCAGACAGAAACUGUACUAUCUGAGAAAUACUCUUUGUCCUACAAAGGAAAAAGUGCCAGGAAUAUCCUGAUUGCAGGAAUGAUAUGUGUAAUGUAAUGCGUAGAAACUCUCAUCACUUGAAGAGUCCAUUAUGGAAUUAUAUCUUUAUAUCUCU